GUGGGGAAUAUUGCACAAUGGGCGAAAGCCUGAUGCAGCAACGCCGCGUGAGGGACGACGGCCUUCGGGUUGUAAACCUCUUUUAGUAGGGAAGAAGCGAAAGUGACGGUACCUGCAGAAAAAGCACCGGCUAACUACGUGCCAGCAGCCGCGGUAAUACGUAGGGUGCAAGCGUUAUCCGGAAUUAUUGGGCGUAAAGAGCUCGUAGGCGGUCUGUCGCGUCUGCUGUGAAAACUGGAGGCUCAACCUCCAGCCUGCAGUGGGUACGGGCAGACUAGAGUGCGGUAGGGGAGAUUGGAAUUCCUGGUGUAGCGGUGGAAUGCACAGAUAUCAGGAGGAACACCGAUGGCGAAGGCAGAUCUCUGGGCCGUAACUGACGCUGAGGAGCGAAAGCGUGGGGAGCGAACAGGAUUAGAAACCCUGGUAGUCC
rnacentral:rRNA from 1 species